GUACAUACGAUUGCUAAUUUAGGUAUUCUCAUGGAGUUUCUUCACCCGAACGGCACGUUCGCACUCGGCUUUAUUUUACCAGCGAAAGCCACAUUCAUUCACUUUUGACGGUCCUUCGUUACGGUGGAUUAAUAGACGAAAGUAAAGACGAACAGUGGCGAAGGGCAAUGGAGUAUGUCAGUGCCGUAUCCGAACUAAAUUAUAUGACACAGAUAGUAAUUAUGCUGUAUGAAGAUCCUACAAAAGACUGUACUUCAGAAGAACGUUUUCACGUUGAAUUACAUUUCAGUCCUGGCGUUGUUUGUUGCGUUCAGAAGAAUUUACCUCCUGGACCGGGAUUUAGACCUCAGUCGAGGAGUGGACCAGUAAGUAAAUAAGUUUCAUAUUCAUAGUUGAUUU